UACGUAGGGGGCAAGCGUUGUCCGGAUUUAUUGGGCGUAAAGAGCGUGUAGGCGGCCAUACAGGUCAGCUGUGAAAACUCGAGGCUCAACCUCGGGCCUGCAGUGGGUACGGGCAGACUAGAGUGCGGUAGGGGAGAUUGGAAUUCCUGGUGUAGCGGUGGAAUGCGCAGAUAUCAGGAGGAACACCAAUGGCGAAGGCAGAUCUCUGGGCCGUAACUGACGCUGAGGAGCGAAAGCAUGGGGAGCGAACAGG
rnacentral:rRNA from 1 species